AUUGAACGCUGGCGGCAUGCCUUACACAUGCAAGUCGAACGGUAACAGGUUAAGCUGACGAGUGGCGAACGGGUGAGUAAUGUAUCGGAACGUGCCCAGUCGUGGGGGAUAACUGCUCGAAAGAGCAGCUAAUACCGCAUACGACCUGAGGGUGAAAGCGGGGGAUCGCAAGACCUCGCGCGAUUGGAGCGGCCGAUAUCAGAUUAGGUAGUUGGUGAGGUAAAGGCUCACCAAGCCGACGAUCUGUAGCUGGUCUGAGAGGACGACCAGCCACACUGGGACGGAGCCAGGCACCAGACGCGGAGGAGCGGCGGGAGUGGGUAGUUGAGGACAAGCGGCGAGCGCAUGGUGCAGCAGGGCCGGGUGGGGGAAGGAGGCCGUCGGGUUGUAAACCGCUGUUGGCGAGGAAGAAGAGGUUGUGGCUAAUGCGUGGGACAAAGGACGGUACAGAAAGAACAAGCCCCGCCGAACUACUAGGCAGAAGCGAGUAAUAAGGGGAAGAGCAGACGGCCAAAC
rnacentral:rRNA from 1 species